rnacentral:rRNA from 1 species
CGUAGGGUGCGAGCGUUAAUCGGAAUUACUGGGCGUAAAGCGUGCGCAGGCGGUUUGUUAAGAUAGGCGUGAAAUCCCCGGGCUCAACCUGGGAACUGCGCUUAUGACUGGCAAGCUAGAGUACGGCAGAGGGGGUGGAAUUCCACGUGUAGCAGUGAAAUGCGUAGAGAUGUGGAGGAACACCAAUGGCGAAGGCAGCCCCCUGGGUCGAUACUGACGCUCAUGCACGAAAGCGUGGGUAGCAAACAGGAUUAGAUACCCUGGUAGUCCACGCCCUAAACGAUGUCAACUAGGUGUUGGGAGGGUAAAACCUUUUAGUACCAGAGCUAACGCGUGAAGUUGACCGCCUGGGGAGUACGGCCGCAAGGUUA